ensembl:lncRNA
CUGAUGAAAUAGGUAACAGCAGAAAGGCAAGUCAAGCUAGAAGGAGAAGAAAAAAGAUGUUUAAUCAAUAAAUUAAAAAAAAAAAAGUUUUUUAUGUAGAGUAAUUUUUAUGUUCUUAAACAAUCAGGCCACAAUACAAAUGUGAUUGCUUUUAAAUCAGGUAGUGUCUGAUGCUGGAGACUUCUUCCACACUGAAGGAACAAUGGCAAUUCUUAAGGAACAGAACAGGAGCAUAAAGGGAGAGAGAAGCAUGUAGUAUUCCUUCUGCUGCAGAAGUUCAGCAGCCCAAAGAGAAACACACGAAUGGAUACAAAUUCAGAAAAUGAAGCCUUUCAUAAAGAUAAUGUGGCGCAUUCAAUGAUCUACAGAAAUGAGGGAAAUUGUAAGCAAUUUUCUCUGCCAGUUUGGCUUUCUUUUCAUCUCUCAGAAAUAUUUUAGAGAUAACUCACAUUACUGCCUUGAAGUUUAAAGAGGAAUGGAAAUGGAUGAGUUGGAUUGUCCUUUAUCCUGCCUUUCAUAUGGGGCAAUUGUGAGCUAAAUCAGGCCACGUGGCUAUAUCUUAUGCAGGUGUAAAUGACUGAAGCGUACUUUCAAAGUGUGAUUCAGCUGUCAUAGUUUAGUUGUCUGUUUUCAGAUGAGAUGAAUUGCAUUGCAGAAAUGCCAGUUUAUUCUUAUUGACUAUAAAGGGAGCCUUGGGUGACCAGCUCAGAUAAAAGGAAAACAUAACCAAAAAUGGGAGAGAGUAUCCGAGAAAGAGUGUAUGAGCAUGUAAUGAAAGAAUGCAUCAUCACUCUUACAGGCUCUGAAGCUAAAUGAAUAUUGCAUGCACCACUGCCAUCUCACAUUUAAUGAAGUUUCUCAGGAGACAAAGAACUGUUCAACACUGUUAUGAAAUCGAGGACAGAAAUCCAACUGGGAUAAUGUGCAAAGCGUGUGGAAUUAAGGCAAGAAUCACAGAAUUGCAGGAAUUGGAAGAGACCUCAAGAGUCCAACCCCUGCUAAAGCAGGUUCCCUACAACAGGUCACACAGGAGAAUUCAUCUGAACCAUGAACAAAGCAGUCCAUACUGGAGUUCAGGAUUAUCUUUUUACUUCUUUCUUUGUGGACUGAAAGUAUGGAGAGGAUAAAACAAAAACAAAAACAAAAGAAACAAAAACAACCUGAAGAAGAGCCUUUGCGAAUAUAUGAUUUAUGGAAAAAAAAUGUGUAAUACGGAAUGUCAGCUCUUCUGGAGGUCUUUUGCCUUUUGGCACUCUCCAUUCAAAGGAGCACCCAAGAUUCCCAGUAUAAUCUGUGGUAUGCAUGUAUGUCUAUUUGUCAUAGCUGCUCCCAGUGGGAGUUUUAGUGCUGAAUGAAGUGUCAGUAAAGGUGCACUGCCAAUGACCAUAUUCAAACAUCCUUUCAUUAAUGCAACCUUACAGUGAUCUUAGCUCUGUCCAUGUUCCUAAGAAUUUAUUCGGAAUUACACCUUGUCUAUCUUUCCAUGAAGAUGAUGGUUGAUUAAAUGUCUGGAAAACCUUCUAAGUGUCUUUGUUUCUGUUCCACUGAAUAAGUGCUGCAACUGUUGUACGGACAGGAGAAAUAGAUAUGAAGAAGCCUUCACAACAAGGAAGGCAUUUGUGGUGUAGGUAUUUCUUUGUUUCCAAUCUGGAGCCCACUAAAUCAGCAAAGUCCCACCCAGCACUUGCUAGAAAGUGUUUUUUAGUCACUCCAGUCUGAGGUGUCUGGCACAUGUAUUUUGCUGCCCACUUUGCAUUUCUUUACUUUAGAACCUUGAAUUUGGAGUUACUUCCACAAAUGUACACCUUUAAUUUUUCACUUAAAGUAGGAUUUCAAAGAGAUUCUCUGAUUACAGCUAAAGUGGCAGUACAAGAAUACUCCUUAAUUCCUGAGUCUUGAUCCACAUCCUCACCGGGUCCAGUUCUGCAGGGCACUAUCUCCUCUCUCUCCCCAUCCCACUACAGCACGCUACUUUCCAUGAGCAGGAAGAAUCACUGAGCAGAA